UCCAGCAGCCGCGGUAAUACGGAGGGUGCGAGCGUUGUCCGGAAUCACUGGGCGUAAAGGGCGCGUAGGCGGCCGGGGAAGCGUGGGGUGAAAGUCCGGGGCUCAACUCCGGAUCGGCCUUGCGGACUCCCGGGCUCGAGCACGGUAGAGGCGGAUGGAAUUCCGGGUGUAGCGGUGGAAUGCGUAGAGAUCCGGAAGAACACCGGUGGCGAAGGCGGUCCGCUGGGCCGUGGCUGACGCUGAGGCGCGACAGCGUGGGGAGCAAACAGGAUUAGAUACCCUGGUAGUCCACGCCGUAAACGAUGGGCACUAGGUGCCUGGGGGAGCGACCCCCUGGGUGCCGGCGCUAACGCAUUAAGUGCCCCGCCUGGGGAGUACGGCCGCAAGGCUGAAACUCAAAGGAAUUGACGGGGGCCCGCACAAGCGGUGGAGCAUGUGGUUUAAUUCGACGCAACGCGCAGAACCUUACCCGGGCUUGACAUGCGGGCGAAAGCCUCUGGAAACAGGGGCCCUCCUUCGGGACGCCCGCACAGGUGCUGCAUGGCUGUCGUCAGCUCGGGUCGUGAGAUGUUGGGUUAA
rnacentral:sRNA from 1 species